UCACAUCUAAAAGAAAAAAAUCCCCCAGAAAAAUAAAUAAUUCUGAGCAUUCUGAAUACAGUUUGAAUGCAUAUUUAGGGCUGUUGUCCUUCUGGCUUUCUGCUGUUUCUAACAGCUUUCAUUUCAGAUUUGCUCUGCAUUUAGCUUCAUCCAUUUUUUGAUCAACUCUGAUCAAUUUCUCUUUCUCUGGUGUUUAAAGAGCCCUCCACACCUGCCACCUGCCACCACCAUGUUUGGCAAUUUUCACGGAUUUUUCCAGGGUGACGUGCAGAUUUAGCAAUAUCAAAAUGUGAUGCUACAUGUCAGACCACUCCCUGUGUCCCAGCAAGAAACAAAGCUGGAUGAAGGAAUGAACUGGCUUCAGACCAAGGAAAAGAAAAAAAAAAAAAAAA